UCACUCAAUAACAUGGCCAGAUGCUGGAAGUGGUGUCAGGUGGCUCUUAGUCUGAAGCCACACAAUCAUGGUGAACCUUGAACUACAUGAGACCCUUUCCCAGUUCUGUGUGAGCACACACACGCUUGUUUUUAUGCUGGGACUAGAUAGGUGCUUAGAGUUCAAGAACAUUGACUACUCCAUUUUAAAGUCCCCAAGCCAAUGGUACUCCAUUUUAAAUUUUUUUUCUUGACACCACUCCCACAAAUAUUAAAAAUAAACAAUCACAAGUUCUUUUUUUUUUAGUUUUUGAGACAGGGUCUCUCUAUGUAGCCUUGGCUGUCUUGGAACUCUCUAUUUAGAUCAGACUGGCCUAGAAUUCAGAGAUCCACUAACCUCUGCAUCCUGAGUGCUGGGAUUAAAGGUGUAUACCACCACAUCUGGCACAAUUCUUUUUUUUUUAAUUAAAUGUAUUAGGAAGUACAAUAAAAAUCCAUGUAGAGGAAUCUUCAUACUAAAUCCCCUAGACAAAAAAAAAAAGUGGAGCCCUCUGUUAUUGGUGUCUUAGACACAUAUCUGUCAGAUAUUCCCAAACUGAACAUACUUAAAAAUAUAGGAAGGAUUGUCACCAGGAGCAGAAGCUGCAGCUCACAGCUGCAAGCUGUUGUAGUCUUGUGUUCAGAGACCUCUACUCAGGUAAAGCUGGGGCCCUGAACACUUGGUUGAAAACUCUAGCUGACUGCUUCAAAGGGAGCUUCCCCAGUUGAUUUCUGCUGGAUGUUUUGAGUACCCAAUUUGUAUUUUUGUUCUCUCUCUCUCUCUCUCUCUCUCUCUCUCUCUCUCUCUCUCUCUCUCUCUCUCUCUCUCGUUUAUUUAUUCUUUUUCUUUGGCUUGCUGGACUUAAUAAAGUCACUCCUUCAAAACUAAAUAUAUGGCUACCACAUAGAUCAGUCUUCCUACCAUACAUAACAUGCCUACAACUGUGUCUGACUUCACAGGGCUUUUAGGCAUUCAGACUCAGGUCCGAAUAUUUAAGUAGCAAAUGCUUUACUCUCUUGAGGUGUUUCUCCAUCCUGAGACAUGGGUUUUGACUAUAAACGUGGCUCAUCAUGGUCAAUAUUGUCAAUUUGAUAGGAUGAAGAAUCACUCCGUCAAAUCACUCACUCACUGGCAUCUAUGAAAGGAUACAUGAUGGGAUCGGAAGUACAAAUUUGUCUCCUGACUUGCUGAAGUGCAGGGCCUGGCUGUUGAGGCUGCUGGAAAGUGGAAACUGAGGAAGUGGAGAGAGCAUGGCUGUCAGGGAUGCUGGGGAAGUGGAAACUGAGGCCAUGGGCUUUCAGAACCCAAUGAAACUGUGAAUUAAUAUAAUCUAAUCACUUCCCUUUACUUUGAAACUCUUGGUUGUUCACUGUCCUAUAGAGAGACUACCUUAAACCCAGUGGCUUGGAAUCACUUUUAACCCCUUUGUAGCUCAUGUAGGGGUGUGCUCAAAGGAUGACUUGUCUCUGCAACUUGAGGUUUCUUUUAGAGUGUUCAGUGGGGAGUGGCAUGUCCAACAUGGAUGCCUUGGUGUUGACUGUGGGCUGGGGUGCCAUUAUUCUCUAAGUAGCUUCUACAUCCAUGCAGACUGUCCUUAUUCGGUGGUCAGGCUGAGCUUUUCAUGGUAGCCAGUUUCCAAGAAGUUGGAGUGGAACCACAGUGCUUCUGGAGGAUUAAACCCAGAACUCAAAGCAAAUCUUGGAUAGCCUUCACCUAGCAUCAAAGAAGAGUUAAAUAGACUCCACUUGUGAUCAGAGAACUAUGUAUUCAGGUUAAGCAGUGAAGCAGCCUUUGAAGUAGAAGAGGCCAGACUUUCUUGGUGCCCUUUGAUUACCCAUGAGCACCAACAAAGAUAGAAAAAUUAUGUGGCCAAUUUACUCUGAUAUGGGAAUAAUUUCACAUGUACAAAUCACAAAUACAUCGUUUAUAACCUAGUUUUAUACAUACACACACACACACACACACACACACACACACACACACACACACACACACACACACACAUUUGUUAGUUCUGUAUCAGGAGUGGGAGUUGGAAUAGGUGUGGUGGCCUGGAGAGAGGUAAAUGGCUCUAGGUAUACUAUGGCCUCACCUUCUCUUAGCUCUUUGGGCCAGAACCCCUCUUGAAUACCACACCUGUUCCCCACCCCACCCCCAACAUGGCUAUCUGAACCUAUCCCUAGCUGACCAUCUACUUGGUAGCUAGCCCCCUAUCCCUGUUCUAGAGUCUCACUUCACCUCUAACCUUGCCUCUCUACCCUCUACUGUGUAUGUCUGGGACCUAACCACCACCACCCCCAUGCUCUAGGCAAGCCAGUCAUUGUGAUCAUCCUCCAGAAUUGAGGGGUGAGGAGCUAUCCACAAGCUGCAAGUAAGAGUCUCCCAGCUCAAUGUUUUUAGGGGUGCUCAGGACACCCAUUACCCAUACUCACCAACGUAGCUUUUUGCACAGGCUCCAGUGUCUACAGAGUGGCAGGACAGAAACAUACCACUGCCCUAACUGGAACUGAGGUUUGGUACAGCUGCAAGCCAGAGCUACUUAGAUGUCUUGGAGGAGGGGUUCGGUGGAGCUGAAGGCAAACAAAGCCCUGGAGUCUUCUUUGCUUCUGUUCCAAAACCAUCAGCUGGGAAGAAGAAAGGAUUAUCCAGACAGACAAAACAUCUCUGCUGGAAAGGCAGAGAAGAACUGAGUCCCUUUAAGCCCUGGGACAGAUGGAGCUGAGGGACAGCAGACAAUAGUCAAAGUUGGGAGACCUGUGCCCUGUGCCUGGGUUAGGAUCCCAGAGUAAAGUGACAGACCUCAAGCACUGUGCAGACGGGGGAGCCCAGGGUAUUCUGACCAAGAUGAUGGACAUCUCAGACCCCUGGAUCCCAACACUCCUCAUUUUCCAUGCUAAUGUGCUCCCAUCCUCUGUAUCCUCUACAUACAGAGUGAAUGUGCCCCUUUCAAGUCCGCAUACCAAAGCUUCAUUCAGAUUCUGUUCCUGUGGAAUUGAAUUACCUUGCUAUGAGGCAGGCCUCUCUGGAGAAAAAGGAGAUAAGAAGAUAUAUAGUAACUGGCUCCCACUAACACAGAACUGGACUCUGAUCCAGUGGGCUUGGAGUGAGGCUCAAGAAGUUUCUUCUCUAGCAGAUUCCUGGGUGAUGCUGCAGAUGGUGGGGCCAGCUGGUGGAUGAGGACACCUGCUGCAAAGUACCAGCAGGUGGAAAAUCAGAGUGAACGAAACUUAGAUCUUGAGCUUGUGCUGUGGACUUGGAGUUGGCUGCCUUAGUUUCAAGUACAGGUGACAUCAGGGUGGUCUUUGCCACCUGCUCUUCCGGUCUCCAAGAGUGGAUCUGAAGCUCUUUGUUGAACAAGCCACCUUGGCACCAUGGAACACCGUCAACCAAAAGCAGGUGAACCUGAACUGUCACAGCAGCACAGUAUCUUGCUGCAGGAAGUUCCAUCCACCCAAGAACCAAGAGGAGUCCUGUCUCCCCAUCCAUCCAUCUCCUACAUGGAAGUUGGAAAGGCACAAAACUUAGUUAAGAGGCCCCAUCUUCACCUUCGUGAGUAGAUGUAUACAGUCAUCCCAACAGUAGGUUCCUUACGAAAGGAUAAAUUUAGUUCUCUUACACUAAAGUUCACUGCCUCUUGGCAUUCUGCUUUCCACCAUGGGAUGAUGCAAGAAGAAUUCUUGUUGUCAGAGGGGUCACUGAUCUCAGAAUUUUCCAGCCCCCAGUACUGUGAAAAAUAAAAUAAUUAUUAUGUUUUGCUGCAGGGAGGGUCUCACUAUAAAGCCUGGCUUUUAACUUACUAUAUAGCUGAGAAGGGCCACGAACUCAUGACCAUCUUCUUGCCUGGCCAGCACCCCCCCCUCCCGUGUGUGUGUGUGUGUGUGUGUGUGUGUGUGUGUGUGUGUGUGUGUCUGUCUGUCUGUCUGUCUGUCUGUCCGUCUGUUUGACUUUGUGUGUGUGUGUGUGUGGUGGUAUUGUGUUCCCCAAAAUAUUUGUGCACUCUAAUAAACUUAUCUGGGGUCAGAGAACAGAACAGCCACAAUUUUAAACAUAGAGGUUAGGCAGUGGUAGCACACACCUUUAAUCCUAGCAUUUCAGAGGCAGAGAUCUGCCUGGAUCUCUGUGAGUUCAAGGCCACACUGGAAACAGCCAAGCAUGGUGACUCACGCCUUUAACCCCAGGAAGUAAUGGCAGGAGGCAGAAAGGUAUUUAAAGCGUGAGGAUGAGGAACUACAGCUGGUUAAGCUUUUAGGCUUCUAGCAGCAGUUCAGCUGAGAUCCAUUCGGAUGAAGACACAGAGGUUUCCAGUCUGAGGAAACAGGAUCAGCUGAGGAAUUAGCAAGGUGAGGUAGCUGUGGCUUGUUCUGCUUCUCUGAUCUUCCAGCAUUCACCCCAAUAUCUGGCCCUGGGUUUGUUUUUAUUAAUAAGACCUUCUAAGAUUCGUGCUACGUGUGUGUGUGUGUGUGUGUGUGCGCGCGCGCGUGUGUGUAUGUGUGUGUGUGUGUGUCUGUCUGUCUGUCUCUCUCUCUCUCUCUCCCAGUCAUGGGUAUUCUGUUACAGAAGUGCACAAAAUAGAGUAAGUUAGUCCUCAUAUCAGGAUCUUUUACUUAGCCACAUCUGUCAGCCAUGUGGAACACAUAAAGAGCCCAAUUCAUGGGCACUGGGGAGUAGGACAUGGUCAUCUUGUACAGGGUCCACCACACUCCCUCCACAGCACAGGAAGGACUUCCAAGCCCAUGGCUGAGCUUUCUGGAGCAGAGCUUUGUCAAAGGACUUGUUUCAGCCACAUCUGUUUCUCUGUUGCCUCAUCCCCCAAGCCACAGAGGCUCUCUCCCUGUUCAAAUAAAAAUAACACUAGCUGAUACGAACUCUGCACUUUCCCCGGCUCUUGACGGACCCUCACCUUGCUGACUGCUCACACCGAUUGUAUAGUGGAUGCUGGUUUCAUUCUUGCUUUGCAACCAGACAACAGAGAUACAGAUGUGUAAGGAACGUCCUGUGAUGGCGGCACAGCUGAUGUGACAGAGCAAGGACUCAAGCCGUGGAGGCCCAUGGGGGCAUCCCUUCUGCCAUCACUGCCGACAUCACACCUCCACAGUUUUGUAGUCUUGUCCGUGGGGCAAGACAGUUCCCUUAUCAAUUCUGGAGCAAUCAGAUGUCAAUCCCACAUCUGCCUGUGAGUGGGACAGCUAGGCACCCGAGAAGUGGGAGAUGGGGCGUUCAUGCCAAGAUGAAGCUGUACAAAUGGCCUGAUGAAAUGACUCUGUUUCCUGCUGCAGUUUGGUUCUGAAUGUCCCUUAAAGGGCUCAUGCAGUAAAGGCUUAGUCCCCAGCUUGGCAUGUGGGCAAUGGUGGAAAUGUAUAGAGGUGGGCCUGAGUGACAUUGAGGGCAUACCCUCGAAGAAGACUGUGGGUGUAAGCCCCUGCACCUCAUCUUCUUCACUUCCCUAAGGUCCCAUGUCCUUUGAAGGCUCAAAUCAGAGUCAAUGGAUAACUGGAUGAAAUGGGAAUACAAAGGCCCAGUCCUCUCCACUCAACUGGGUGUGUGUCUACCCCAACUGCAGGCUCCCUAUUGGCUUACCUGAGGCCUCAGUUGGAGCCACAUUGUAGCUGAACCUUCCCCUCCCACCCCCUACCUUCCUUACUUCCUUAUAUGUAUCUCAUCUGUGCUAGAUUUGGCUUGUGAUUUCCCCAUCUCGGAGUCUUUUCAGGAACUCCAAGGGACAUGUCACCUUCCUUUCACAUAAUGUAACUGUUUCCCUCAAAGAAAUGAUUAUCUAAAACAAAUAGAAGAUCUCUUAAUUUAAAAAAAAAGGAAAAAAAAAAGAAAUGAUUAUCAUUUUUAAAAUGCUUUAUAGUGCUGAACAACUCUGUUGUCCUGGUCUCAUCUCAGCCUCCAAUGUGCCCUGGGUCCCUGUUUUUCAAGGUGUCUCUUGGGACAGUUUUGCCUGAAACAAUCUAGAGGUGUAAAUGUGUUAUGGGGUACUGUCUUAGUUAGGGUUUCUAUUGCUGUGAAGAGACACCAUGACCACAGCAACUCUUAUAAAUUAAAACAUUUAAUUGGGGUGGCUCAUUUACAGUUUCAGUCCAUUAUCAUGGCGGGGAGCAUGGCUGCGUGCAGGCAGAUGUGCUGGAGAAGAAGCUGAGAGUCCUACAUCUUGCAGGCAGCAGGAAGGACUGUAUGCCACACUAUGUAAAAGCUUGAGCCAAAGAGACCUCAAAACCUGCUACCACAGUGACAGACUUCCGUCAGCAAGGCCACACCUCCCAAUAAUGUCACUUCCUACGAGCUUAUGGGGGCCAAUUACAUUCAAACUACCAUAGAUACCUGAAGAGAAAAACUCCUAAGAGGCCCGAUUAAGUUGAAUGGAGUCUUUAUUAAUGGCUAGUGAGACUGUCCCAAGCAGAUUGGUGUGGGAAGCAGCCCAACCUCUAGUUGGUUUGAGUUUUUAAGUGCAAAAUACUCAAUUGUGACAUACAGAAAUCAAACAUUGCUUACAGAAGCAGAGAGACAGCAGUUAAAUAGGCGGUUAACCUUUAGCUCAGGGUCACAUUAUAUAGGAAUUUAGGACUGGCCCAGAGGCCAGUUUUACCCAAGAUAGUUUUAGCACUUAGGAAUACUUUUGUGAGAUGGCAUAACUAUAGUUCAGUAGCUUAUUACAAGUUUCCAGCUAAAGAUCUGCUUGUUGCAUGAGUUUGGUAAGCUGAGUUUUCAGGUGAGAAAUUUCAGGUUUAUGGAAUACCAAGAAAUGUAUAAGGUGUGGUACUUUUGAUGACAGCACUUCUCCAGACAUUCCUGCUCUCCUUUGUAACCCUGCCCAAGCUGAACACGGGUUCUUUUAUUCCAAUCUUAACCACCCAUAACUCUCAGAUCACACAUUACAGGUCACCCUACGAAUCCAUCCAUCUAGAUCUCUCUGUAUAUGCAGCUUCAGAAAGGCUACAAAAGCUAAGUGGCCACAGUAGAAUUCAAAAGGUUUCUGAAGAAGGCUGACAGAAAUGUAAAUAGUCUAUUGAUAAGAUAACAAACACAGAGCCGGGCGGUGGUGGCGCACGCCUUUAAUCCCAGCACUGGGAGGCAGAGGCAGGUGGAUCUCUAUGAGUUCGAGGCCAGCCUGGGCUACAGAACAAGAUCCAGGACAGGCACCAAAACUAUGCAGAGAAACCCUGUCUCGAAAAACCAAAAAAAAAAAAAAA